CGAACCAUUGAUAAGAAAAUGGCCACGGUCCUUCUUUGCGCAGCGAGGAUUGCCGCUUCCUCCAUGGCGAAGGCGGUGAUUGUGGCGAGGGCGGAGGCUGAAAGGAGGGUACGGGAAGCGGCUGUUUGUAGGAAGAGAGCUAGGGAGGCGUUGGAGCACGUGGCGUUGGUGGCGAAGAGGAAGGACGUAGAAUCCGUGGAGGUUUCUGGAUCUGGGAAUUUCGGGAAACGGGAGAGAGAGAGCGUCGAUGGAACGUCACCUAUGAAUGUGGAGCGAAUUACUUCUGUUGAAAUUGCCAAGAACAAUGGAAAUUCCCAUAAUAAUUCAGGUCAUUUUGAAAAGGGUCUUGAUAAUGGAAGUAAUGCAGAGAAGAAGCAGAACUUGAACACUAAUCAUGGUAACGUUAGUGUUAAAGAAGAGAAUUUCGAUUCACUUGUUCAUAAGAGCUCGUAAAUAUUCUUCACUGGUCCACCCAAUAGCCAAAGCUAAUAUCCUAGAUUCAUAGGUCGCGAAAAUAUUGAAAUUCUCUGUGAUACAAAGGAAAGCUUCUGUGAGAUGAUUUUGCCAAAUAAGUAUAAAUUUCUCUCAGCGCAUUGUGUUGUUUCUACACAUAUAUAAUGCCUGUUGUUGUGUAUAAUCGAUUAGGGUGCAUGUUCAUGUAUUCUGAUUAGACUCUGGUUAGCCAAGUUUAAUUCUUUACUAGCUUCCUUUUGUACCUUUUUACCUAGUGUGAUUACACAUCCAGUGGUAAUAAAACAUAUUAUUGGAACUUCCCUUUUCCUUUGCAUACUGUCAUGAGUGAAGAUAGUCUAUCCGGAAGUAGGUA
rnacentral:misc_RNA from 1 species